rnacentral:lncRNA from 1 species
GCAGACCCGGCUUGUUCCCACCUGGAGGUUGUGGACAUCACCCCAAAAACAGAGGCAGACCCGGGUUGUUCCCACCUGGAAGUUCAAGACAUCACCCCAAAAACAGAGGAAGACCCGGCUUCUCUCCACCUGAAUGUUGUGGACAUAACCCUUAAUACAGAGGCAGAUCCGGCUUCUCUCCACCUGAAUGUUGUGGACAUAACCCUUAAUACAGAGGCAGAUCCGGCUUCUUCCCACCUGAAUGUUGUGGACAUAACCC